ensembl:snRNA U6 U6 spliceosomal RNA
GUGCUUGCUUCUGCAGCACAUAUACUAAAAUUGGAACAAUACGGAGAAAAUUAUCAUGGCCCCUGUGCAAGAUGACACGCAAAUUUGUGAUGUGUUCUGUAUUUUU